rnacentral:rRNA from 1 species
UACGUAGGGUGCAAGCGUUUGUCCGGAAUUAUUGGGCGUAAAGAGCUCGUAGGCGGUCUGUCGCGUCUGCUGUGAAAACUCAGGGCUUAACCCUGAGCUUGCAGUGGGUACGGGCAGACUAGAGUGCGGUAGGGGAGACUGGAAUUCCAGGUGUAGCGGUGAAAUGCGUAGAUAUCUGGAGGAAUACCGGUGGCGAAGGCGGCAUCCUGGACCAACACUGACACUGAAUCGCGAAAGCUAGGGGAGCAAACGGG